AACGAACGCUGGCGGCAUGCCUAACACAUGCAAGUCGAACGAAGUCUUCGGACUUAGUGGCGCACGGGUGCGUAACGCGUGGGAAUCUGCCCUUAUGUACGGAAUAACUCAGGGAAACUUGUGCUAAUACCGUAUGAUGUCUUCGGACCAAAGAUUUAUCGCCUAGGGAUGAGCCCGCGUAGGAUUAGCUAGUUGGUGAGGUAAAGGCUCACCAAGGCGACGAUCCUUAGCUGGUCUGAGAGGAUGAUUCGCCACACUGGGACUGAGACACGGCCCUGACUCGUCCGGGCGGCAGCAGUGGGGGAUAUUGGACAAUGGGCGAAAGGCUGAUCCAGCAGUGCCGCGUGAGUGAUGAAGGCCUUAGGGUUGUGAAGCUCUUUUACCCGGGAAGAUAAUGACUGUACCGGGAGAAUAAGCCCCGGCUAACUCCGUGCCAGCCGCCGCGGUAG
rnacentral:rRNA from 1 species